AUAUCAUCUGUCUCCUCACGACAUAUAGGACAGAGUCCGGCACUGACCGGUAGUAUCCCAAGCUUUACCAGGGCGUACACAGGCCUGCUACGUUUGGAAGCA